rnacentral:rRNA from 1 species
GCGUUGUCCGGAAUUACUGGGCGUAAAGGGCGCGUAGGCGGCCGUUUAAGUCCGCUGUGAAAGACCGAGGCUCAACCUCGGGGUGUCAGCGGAGACUGGACGGCUAGGGUGUCGGAGAGGAGCGCGGAAUCCCUGGUGUAGCGGUGGAAUGCGUAGAGAUCAGGGGGAACACCGAUGGCGAAGGCAGUGCUCUGGCCGAAGACCGACGCUGAGGCGCGAAAGCUGG